rnacentral:rRNA from 1 species
AGAGUUUGAUCCUGGCUCAGAUUGAACGCUGGCGGCAUGCUUUACACAUGCAAGUCGAACGGCAGCACGGGGGCAACCCUGGUGGCGAGUGGCGAACGGGUGAGUAACACAUCGGAACAUAUCUUAAAGUGGGGAAUAACGCAUCGAGAGGUGUGCUAAUACUCCAUAUACUCUAGCGAGGAAAGCGGGGGAUCGAAAGACCUCGUGCUUUAAGAGUGGCCGAUGUCUGAUUAGCUAGUUGGUAAGGUAAAAGCUUACCAAGGCGACGAUCAGUAGCUGGUCUGAGAGGACGAUCAGCCACACUGGGACUGAGACACGGCCCAGACUCCUACGGGAGGCAGCAGUGGGGAAUUUUGGACAAUGGGCGAAAGCCUGAUCCAGCCAUGCCGCGUGAGUGAAGAAGGCCUUCGGGUUGUAAAGCUCUUUCGGUCGAGAAGAAAUGUCUAUGACUAAUACUUAUAGAAAAUGACGGUAUCGACAUAAGAAGCACCGGCUAACUACGUGCCAGCAGCCGCGGUAAUACGUAGGGUGCAAGCGUUAAUCGGAAUUAUUGGGCGUAAAGGGUGCGCAGGCUGUGUUGUAAGUCAGAUGUGAAAUCCCCGGGC